GACGAACGCUGGCGGCGUGCUUAACACAUGCAAGUCGAACGGAAAGGCCCUGCUUUUGUGGGGUGCUCGAGUGGCGAACGGGUGAGUAACACGUGAGUAACCUGCCCUUGACUUUGGGAUAACUUCAGGAAACUGGGGCUAAUACCGGAUAGGAGCUCCUGCUGCAUGGUGGGGGUUGGAAAGUUUCGGCUGUUGGGGAUGGACUCGCGGCUUACGAGCUUGUUGGUUGGGGAGUGGCCUACCAAGGCUUUGACGGGUAGCCGGCCUGGGAGGGGUACCGGCCACAUUGGGACUGAGAGACGGCGCAGACUCCUACGGGAGGCAGCGGUGGAGAAUAUUGCACAAUGGGCGGAAGCCUGAUGCAGCAGCGCCGCGUGCGGGAUGACGGCCUUCGGGUUGUAAACCGCUUUCGCCUGUGACGAAGCGUGAGUGACGGUAAUGGGUAAAGAAGCACCGGCUAACUACGUG
rnacentral:rRNA from 1 species